UUGUAUGUGGUCAAUCCUCAGGAUGCCCGUUGAAAGAAAAAGAACAAAGGAAUUUCUGAGUGUGUCAGCUCGCCUGGGAGUGCUGGAGUCGAGCCCAUCCCAAGACCUGCUAGRGACCCUGGGAGGCCAGCCUCCAGCGCAGAGAAGAGGACCACAGUCCCUUAGGAAACACACACACCACACCGGCUUUGCUGGAGGCCCUUCCUACAAAGGGGAGCAUCGCAAAAGGGGCACUAAAAUGGCAAGUGGGUGGGGGCCAUGGCUCCAAGUGUGGCCAGUCUCCUCACCAGUUCACCCCUCUCCCAGAUCUAGUUAGCCUGGCCUCCUGUUUCCCACUCUGCUGGCAUGRUGGAAAAUCGUGAGAAUACUGAUCUAAGAGCAGGAACACUGACCAGCAGCCUGACCCCAAAGACCUAAGGGCCACUGCAACCUGACGCAGGACCCAGCAACAGGUAAUGACCAGCCAUUGGACCUGUGGCCUUGGAGAGGAAGCUGAGCUACUCCAAGCACUUCUGCCAGCUCUGUUGGGGAAAAUCAAGUCACAAGGUUUGCCCUCCACCCCAGGAGACCCAUUAAAGCCUGAAUCCGACUGGGAGCCACUUCAGCAGAGUUGGUGUUUGAUUCCCAAACAAUUCUGGGGCAUGGUAGUUGGCCUGGAAAACACUUGGAGAGGCCUGGGACACAGCAUCAUCCUGCUGGGGAGCACCUUCACGAAUUCAGGCGGUGUGAAAAGCCAACCAGCAGCUGCACAUGAAUUUUACAGAGAUUUCACAAAUGCACAACAAUGGAA
rnacentral:lncRNA from 1 species